GACAGAGGGUGCAAACGUUGUUCGGAUUUACUGGGCGUAAAGCGCGUGUAGGCGGCUUUGCAAGUCGGAUGUGAAAGCCCACGGCUCAACCGUGGAAGUGCAUCCGAAACUGCAUGGCUGGAGUCUCGGAGAGGAAGGUGGAAUGCUUGGUGUAGAGGUGAAAUUCGUAGAUAUCAAGCAGAACACCUGCGGCGAAGGCGGCCUUCUGGACGAUGACUGACGCUGAGACACGAAAGCGUGGGUAGCAAACAGG
rnacentral:rRNA from 1 species